UGAGGAGUCGUCCAACGGCAGGACACCUGGCUCUGACCCAGGGAAUCUAGGUUCGAAUCCUAGCUCCUCAG
rnacentral:tRNA from 1 species